rnacentral:misc_RNA from 1 species
GAUGAAGAACGUAGCGAAAUGCGAUACGUAAUGUGAAUUGCAAAUUCAGUGAAUCAUCGAGUCUUUGAACGCACAUUGCGCCCCCUGGUAUUCCGGGGGGCAUGCCUGUCCGAGCGUCAUUGCUGCCCUCAAGCACGGCUUGUGUGUUGGGCCCCGUCCUCCGAUCCCGGGGGACGGGCCCGAAAGGCAGCGGCGGCACCGCGUCCGGUCCUCGAGCGUAUGGGGCUUUGUCACCCGCUCUGUAGGCCCGGCCGGCGCCCGCCGGCGACACCCAAAUCAAUCUAUCCAGGUUGACCUCGGAUCAGGUAGGGAUACCCGCUGAACUUAAGCAUAUCAAUAAGCGGAGGA